rnacentral:lncRNA from 1 species
AAGGCCCCACCCCCACAGACUUAAGUGAAGACCCGCAUUCCUACUUUCUAUCCCAAAUGUUGCGUUUUCUAAGACCACUCUGGCCCGCCAUACCUCCAUCCUGGGCCUAUAAAAAUCCGAGACCCUAGCAAGACAGAAACGGAAGCUGCUGGACGACGAGAUGAAAAUAUCGGCCAAAGAAGACAAGCCACCGGACAUUGAGAGGACAUCGAGGGGAGCCCCCGCUUGUCGCACGCCCUGCCACAGGGAUGAGGGAACCUCUCCAGUUUCAAUAUGUGUCUCAUUGCUCC